CAAACCCAAGGUUCACGGCCAGCGGGCAAACUCGCCCACCACACCUCGGUCUCCUAAGACCCUUUCCUUGGCAAUCCAAUGAAAGCUCGGUGGAACGACAAAAGCUACAACUCAGCGUGCACAUGACACCGCCACUUGUGCUUCCUAGGAGGACGUCGACUCCAGCAAAAAUGUCCUGACUGACUUCAGGAGAGAGGAAUUAUUGCUACGUGCCUCUUUCCCAGUGAAGAAAAUCUCUGUUGGCUGCGAGCAGAGAAGCGGCGGAAGGAUUCCCGACUCCGGGAAGCCAGGUGUCGGAAGGAGGAAGUACGCUUGAAGGGGGUCCGGCUGGCCGACUCUGCACUCGUCCGUUCGUGGCCCACCGUGGUGGUCACCAAAUUGAGGGCUUCCUGGAAGGACCUCCUCACGGUGCCCAUCCACUGGGUCAUGUGGGUCUGGGCCACUGUGAGUUUAUCUCCCAGCUGUCUCUCCCUCCCUCUCUGGAAGGCAACACUGAUCCAGGAUCUCACUCUGUUGCCCAGGCUGGACUGCAGUGGCAUGAUCACAGCUCACUGCAGCCUUGGCCUCCCAGGCUCAAGCGAUCCUCCCACCUCAGCCUCCUCGGUAGCUAGGACUACAGGUGGAGCAACACCGUCAGUCAGAAGGCAGCGGAUGGCACAGGGCUUCCGCGUAAGGCCUGCAUCGCCUGAGUCAUGGUUUUCUCAUCUUGUAUGAGGCCCACCCCCUUCAAAAGGUUGUGACAAAAAAAACAACUGAGAUAAUUUGUGCCGCUGGCACAUAGUUAACACUCAAUAAGGCCGGGCGCAGUGGCUUACACCUCUAAUCCCAGCACUUUGGGAGGCUGAGGCAGGUGGAUCACUUGAGGCCAGGAGUUCGAUACCAGCCUGACCAACAUGGUGAAACCCCAUCUCAACUAAAAAUACAAAAAUUAGCCAGGCAUGGUGGUGUGCACCUGUAGUCCCAGCUACUUGGGAGCCUGAGGCAGGAGCAUCUCUUGAACCCGGGAGGUGGAGGUUGCAGUGAGCGGAGAUGGCACCACUGCACUCCAGCCUGGGCGACAGAACAAGACUCUGUCUCAAAACAACAACAACAACAAAAUAAUAAAUGGUGACCACAAGGGAUGAUCGUUUUUCUAUUAUAAUUCCUAUCAUCUCACUGUUCAAAUGAAUCACAGGACCCUAGACAGUCAGAAUCAAGACACCAGCAGGGACCAACCUAGGCCAACCUUCCCACUAAACUGAAGAAACAGGCCCAGACCGAGGGCUGCCCUAAGGCCUCACAGUCCAUCUGCAGCAGG
rnacentral:lncRNA from 1 species